UUUGAACUCUGGCCUCAAAUCAGGUAGGACUACCCGCUGAACUUAAGCAUAUCAAUAAGCGGAGG
rnacentral:rRNA from 1 species